rnacentral:rRNA from 1 species
UGCCCCACAGUUCCCUGCCCGGGAACAAGGAGCCGGUAUCAGGCACACCCACAAGCCCAUGACACCUUGCUUAGCCACACCCUCAAGGGAACUCAGCAGUGAUAAACAUUAAGCCAUAAGUGAAAACUUGACUUAGUUAAAGCUAAGAGGGCCGGUAAAACUCGUGCCAGCCACCGCGGUUAUACGAGAGGCCCAAGUUGAUAGACACCGGCGUAAAGCGUGGUUAAGUUAAAACCCAUACUAAAGCCAAACAUCUUCAAGGCUGUUAUACGCAACCGAAGACAGGAAGUUCAACCACGAAAGUGGCUUUAUUAGUCUGAAUCCACGAAAGCUAAGGAACAAACUGGGAUUAGAUACCCCACUAUGCCUAGCCCUAAACAUUGAUGGUAUUAUACCCCACCAUCCGCCCGGGUACUACGAGCAAUAGCUUAAAACCCAAAGGACUUGGCGGUGCUUUAGAUCCACCUAGAGGAGCCUGUUCUAGAACCGAUAACCCCCGUUCAACCUCACCCCUCCUUGUUUAACCCGCCUAUAUACCGCCGUCGUCAGCUUACCCUGUGAAGGUCUAAUAGUAAGCAAAACUGGUACAACCUAAAACGUCAGGUCGAGGUGUAGCGUAUGGAGGGGGAAGAAAUGGGCUACAUUCGCUAUCACAGCGAACACGAAAAGAUGUGCUGAAACGUUUCAUCUGAAGGAGGAUUUAGCAGUAAGCAG